AGAGUUUGAUCCUGGCUCAGGAUAAACGCUGGCGGCGUGCUUUAUGCAUGCAAGUCGAACGAUACCGAUGAACCAAGCUUGCUUGGAACAUUGGAAGAGUGGCAAACGGGUGAGUAAUACGUAAGUAACCUGCCCCUAAGUAGAGGGUAACUCUGAGAAAUUGGAGCUAAUACUGUAUGUGGUGGUGAAGGUAGUGCUUCACUACUAAAGCCUUCGGGCGCUUAGGGAGGGGCUUGCGUCCGAUUAGCUAGUUGGUAGGGUAACGGUUUACCAAGGCGAUGAUCGGUAGCUGGUCUGAGAGGGCGAUCAGCCACACUGGGACUGAGACACGGCCCAGACUCCUACGGGAGGCAGCAGCAAGGAAUUUUGUGCAAUGGGCGAAAGCCUGACACAGCGACGCCGCGUGAGGGAUGAAGGCCUUCGGGUUGUAAACCUCUUUUCUCAGGGAAGAAUAAUGACGGUACCUGAGGAUAAGUCUCGGCUAACUACGUGCCAGCAGCCGCGGUAAUACGUAGGAGGCGAGCGUUAUCCGGAUUUACUGGGCGUAAAGCGGGCGUAGGCGGCUUUUCAAGUCGGGUGUGAAAUCUCCCUGCUUAAUAGGGAGGGGUCAUUCGAUACUGUUAAGCUAGAGAGCAGCAGGGGGAGGUGGAAUUCCCGGUGGAGUGGUGAAAUGCGUAGAUAUCGGGAGGAACACCAGUGGCGAAGGCGGCCUCCUGGGCUGUUUCUGACGCUGAGGUCCGAAAGCGUGGGGAGCGAACAGGAUUAGAUACCCUGGUAGUCCACGCUGUCAACGAUGGAUACUAGGUAUAGGGAGUAUCGACCCUCUCUGUGCCGAAGCUAACGCCUUAAGUGUCCCGCCUGGGGAGUACGGCCGCAAGGCUGAAACUCAAAGGAAUUGACGGGGCCCGCACAAGCAGCGGAGCGUGUGGUUUAAUUCGAUGCUACGCGAAGAACCUUACCAGGGCUUGACAUGGCAGAAGUAGGAAUCCGAAAGGAAGACGACCUGUAUCCAGUCAGGAGCCGUCACAGGUGCUGCAUGCUGUCGUCAGCUCGUGCCGUGAGGUGUUGGAUAGUCCCGCACGAGCGCAACCCUUGUCUAUGUUAAUCCUCAUGGGAGAACUGCUUGUAAGCAAGAGAGGAAGAUGACGUCAGUCACAUGCCUUAGUCUGGGCUAACAAGCUUACAUGGGUGUAUCAAAGGGUGGCCAAAGAG
rnacentral:rRNA from 1 species